rnacentral:lncRNA from 1 species
UUAAGGAUUUAUCCGCCUCAUAAGCGCAAAUCCCCCAGGAUUCAGUAGGCUCUUCUUGGAUUGAAACCAAGGAUUCAGAACUAUCAAGAAGAAAUUCUUUCAGGAGGAUGUAACCCAGAAUUAUAUGUCAGACUCAUGAAAAUCUAUUCAUGUAUAAUUUGAAGCAUAAAAUGUAAAGGAGGGAUUUUUGUUUAGCCUGUGCAUAAGUAUUUAUACCAAAAGAAAAAAGGUGUUCCUCCUCUUGAUAUUGAUAGCACGUACAAGGAACAU